GACCUCGGAUCAGGUAGGGAUACCCGCUGAACUUAAGCAUACA
rnacentral:rRNA from 1 species